rnacentral:rRNA from 1 species
UACCUGGGUUUGACAUCUACGGAAGUCGGGGUAAUGCCCGAUGUGCCCUUCGGGGAGCCGUAAGACAGGUGCUGCAUGGCUGUCGUCAGCUCGUGUCGUGAGAUGUUCGGUUAAGUCCGGCAACGAGCGCAACCCUUGUCUCCUGUUGCUACCAGUUCGGCUGGGCACUCUGGAGAGACUGCCGAUGUGAAAUCGGAGGAAGGUGGGGAUGACGUCAAGUCCUCAUGGCCCUUAUGCCCAGGGCUACACACGUGCUACAAUGGCUGGUACAAAGAGCUGCGAGACCGCGAGGUCAAGCCAAUCUCAAAAAGCCAGCCUCAGUUCAGAUUGCAGUCUGCAACUCGACUGCAUGAAGGCGGAAUCGCUAGUAAUCGCGGAUCAGCAUGCCGCGUGGA